rnacentral:rRNA from 1 species
CUUACGGGAGGCAGCAGUGGGGAAUAUUGCACAAUGGGGGAAACCUUGAUGCAGCCAUGCCGCGUGUGUGAAGAAGGUCUUCGGGUUGUAAAGCACUUUCAGUUGUGAGGAAAAGUUAGUAGUUAAUACGUGCUAGUCGUGACGUUAACAACAGAAGAAGCACCGGUUAAUUCCGUGCCGGCAGCCGCGGUAUUACGGAGGGUGCGAGCGUUAUUGGGAAUUACUGGGCGUAAAGCGCACGCGGGCGGUUUGUUAAGCUGGAUGUGAAAGCCCCGGGUUCACCCUGGGAUGGUCAUUUAGAACUGCCAGAUUGGAGUCUGGGGGAGGGGAGUGAAAUUCCAGGGGUAGCGGUAAAAGGGGUAGAAUUGAGGAGGACCCCCAGUGGGGAGGGGGCCUCCCUGGCCAACGACGGACGUUCAUGUGGGAAGGUGUGGGUGCAGACCAGGAUUGGUUCCCUUGUUGUUCCACACGGUAAACGCGUUUUACUAGCGUCGGGGGCCUUUAAGACGUGGGUGGCGAAGCUAACGCGAUAAGUAGACCGCCUGGGGAGUACGGCCGCAAGGUUAAAACUCAAAUGAAUUGACGGA